CUUGCAGCAAAUAAACAGGUUUAU
rnacentral:siRNA from 1 species